rnacentral:rRNA from 1 species
GACGAACGCUGGCGGCGUGCUUAACACAUGCAAGUCGAGCGGUAAGGCCCUUUCGGGGGUACACGAGCGGCGAACGGGUGAGUAACACGUGGGUGACCUGCCCUCAGCUCUGGGAUAAGCCUGGGAAACUGGGUCUAAUACCGGAUAUGACUCCAUGACGCAUGUUGUGGGGUGGAAAGCCUUGUGCGGCUGAGGAUGGGCCCGCGGCCUAUCAGCUUGUUGGUGGGGUGANGGCCUACCAAGGCGACGACGGGUAGCCGGCCUGAGAGGGCGACCGGCCACACUGGGACUGAGACACGGCCCAGACUCCUACGGGAGGCAGCAGUGGGGAAUCUUGCGCAAUGGGCGAAAGCCUGACGCAGCGACGCCGCGUGAGGGAUGA